rnacentral:rRNA from 1 species
CGAAGGAUGCAAGCGUUAUCCGGAUUCAUGGUUUAAAGGGUGCGUAGGCGGUCUUGUAAGUCAGUGGUGAAAUCUCGCAGCUUAACUGCGAAACUGCCAUUGAUACUGCAGGACUUGAGUACAGAUGCUGUGGGCGGAAUAUGACAUGUAGUGGUGAAAUACAUAGAGAUGUCAUAGAACACCGAUUGCGAAGGCAGCUCACAAAACUGUAACUGACGCUGAGGCACGAAAGUGCGGGGAUCAAACAGGAUUAGAUACCCUGGUAGUCCGCACUGUAAACGAUGAUUACUCGCUGCUGGGGGGCAACUUCCAGUGGCUGAGCGAAAGCGAUAAGUAAUCCACCUGGGGAGUACGCCGGCAACGGUG